rnacentral:rRNA from 1 species
UACGAAGGGUGCAAACGUUGCUCGGAAUCAUUGGGCGUAAAGCGCACGUAGGCGGCUUCGCAAGUCGGAUGUGAAAUCCCUCGGCUCAACCGAGGACGUGCAUCCGAAACUGCGGAGCUUGAGUAUGGAAGAGGGUCGCGGAAUUCCCGGUGUAGAGGUGAAAUUCGUAGAUAUCGGGGGGAACACCAGUGGCGAAGGCGGCGACCUGGGCCAAUACUGACGCUGAGGUGCGAAAGCGUGGGGAGCGAACCGG